rnacentral:rRNA from 1 species
GACAGAGGCCUCAAGCGUUUAGGCGGAAUCACUGGGCUUAAAGCGUGUGUAGGCGAAUCGUUAAGUGUCUUGUGAAAUCCCACGGCUCACCCGUGGAACUGCUUGGUAUACUGGCGGUCUUGAGUCAGCUAGGGGCUACCGGAACAAAUGGUGGAGCGGUGAAAUGCGUAGAUAUCAUUUGGAACGCCAAUGGUGAAAACAGGUAGCUGGGGCUGUACUGACACUGAGACACGAAAGCCAGGGGAGCAAACGGG